rnacentral:rRNA from 1 species
UACAUGCAAGUCGUACGAGGGCUUUUAGCCCUAGUGGCGGACGGGUGAGUAACACGUGAGAAUCUGCCCUUAGGAGGAGGAUAACAGCUGGAAACGGUUGCUAAUACUCCAUAUGCCGAGAGGUGAAAGGAAUUUCUGCCUAAGGAGGAGCUCGCGUCUGAUUAGCUAGUUGGUAGGGUAAAGGCCUACCAAGGCGACGAUCAGUAGCUGGUUUGAGAGGAUGAUCAGCCACACUGGGACUGAGACACGGCCCAGACUCCUACGGGAGGCAGCAGUAGGGAAUUUUCCGCAAUGGGCGAAAGCCUGACGGAGCAAUACCGCGUGAGGGAUGACGGCCUGUGGGUUGUAAACCUCUUUUCUCAAGGAAGAAGUUCUGACGGUACUUGAGGAAUAAGCAUCGGCUAACUCUGUGCCAGCAGCCGCGGUAAUACAGAGGAUGCAAGCGUUAUCCGGAAUCACUGGGCAUAAAGCGUCUGUAGGUGGUUUGGUAAGUCUGCUGUUAAAGACUG